GACAGAGGUGCCAAGCGUUAGGCGGAAUCACUGGGCUUAAAGCGUGUGUAGGCGGAUCGUUAAGUACCUUGUGAAAUCCCACGGCUCAACCGUGGAACUGCUGGGUAUACUGGCGGUCUUGAGCCACCUAGGGGCAACUGGAACAAGCGGUGGAGUGGUGAAAUGCGUAGAGAUCCGGAGGAACACCAGAGGCGAAGGCGGCCUACUGGGCUGCACCUGACGCUGAGCCGCGAAAGCCAGGGGAGCGAACGGG
rnacentral:rRNA from 1 species